AUGAGGGAAAGCGCCCUGGAGUCUCACGCCCCGCGGCCGGCCGCGUCUCCAAGGGCGCCUCCCUACUCCGCCUGCCUUCUGCCCGCAUCACCUCGGCCCCAGCAACGCUCGUCCGAUGCGCCUCCCUCGGUGCCCGUCGCCCCGCAGCACCCGCUCCAGCUGCACUUCCCUGAAAUUCCUGCUGCCCUGGAUCGGGCUUCGGGAGCGGGUACCGGUGAACCCCGUUCUCUCCGCCGCCCAGGGCAAGGCCUCAGCGGUAGGUUCGGCUCCCCCCCCCCCCCCCGGCCCCUCUUUCCGUGCGAUCCGCGCAUCUCCGCGGCCUCCGACCCCUCCAGGGCAGGCGCUAAUCUUUGGCUCUCGCGUUUGGAGGAGAGAAAGGGAAGAAGGGUCACUUCCGAGCCUCAUUCGCGCCGUUUCCUGAGAUGGGGGGCACUAGGAGGGCGCUUUUCUUCCCCCUCUGGCCUCCCCGCCACACUUUCGGCUCUCCCUGCGAACUGGGGAGAAGCGGGGUCCCCGCGCGGGCUCGGGGAUUCAUCCUCCACAGCGGGGCACUCGGGCCGCGCCGCCCUGUAGCUGCCCCGGAGCCGCCGAGAAGGUCCCGGCACCCCUUCCCCCCUCCUUCGUCCUCCAGCGCCCCCCCCAUCCCCCGCCCGGGUGUCCAGGUCCCGCGACCCGCUCGCCCGAGCCCGUCCCCGUCGCGCGCCCCGGGCACUCACCACCACUUCCUCGAGGCCCGGAGCGCGCGGGUCUCUCCCGGGAGAGUCCCUGGAGGCGGAGGUGCGCCUGUGACUCCGGGGCCGCGGCGGGGUCUGGAGGCGAGGUUGGCCGCCCCCGCCCCCGCCGCGGUCCCUCCUCCCCCCCUCUUUCCGCCCCCCCUCCCCACUUCCCCGGGCCGUGGCGCCCGAGCGCUCCGCCCGAAGGCGGGUCCGCCAUAAACAAACGCGUCUCGGCCGCACGUGGACCGCGGAACUUCUGCGCCUGGCGGCAGAUCGCGGGCUCCGGGCGCCGCAGCUGCGGGCACAGGGCACCGCCAGGGAGGGCAGGCGAGCGCUCCCGGGCCGGGCCCAGCCGCCUCC
rnacentral:lncRNA from 1 species